CACAGCAGAAGCGAUCUGGUUUGGAUUAGCAAAGUCUUGAUAUUUCUCCAAUUCCAGUUUCUGUCCCAGAAAGGGGAAUCCGUCUCCUUAUCAAGAAGGCCGUGUGGCUGACGGCCUCGGAGAUGGGUCCCUUCCAACUCGGGAUAUUCUAUGAUUCUGUGAUUCUAUGAGGAUUGGGGAGGCUGUUCCUGGAGAUGAGGAUCAGGGAGGCUGCUCCAGGAACACGAGAGCCUCCGCAGAGCCCCGUGCUUGGAAGGCGCCGCAGCUCAACGCAUUCCACACGGACACGGUAAUGCUCGGCCGUGCUUCGCGCGCUGCGGCACAGGGGGAGUCGGUUCUCGUUCGAGCCCUCCCCGAGCAAAGCGAUCUACCAAAGGGCACAUUGAAACAAAGGUGAUAACCGCUCUGUCGGGACGCAUUUCACAGAACCAGUGGGAGCGGAGCACAGAGGCAGCCGCCCCCCACCACGGCACCGACCCCUACAAUAAAAGCCGCAAGGUGAAUCCCCAGGGGAGAGGCAGCGUCCCUGGCAGUGAGGGCUGAGGAAAGCUCACCCAGCAUGUCAGAACCCCAUCUGCUGGGUGACACUCCUUCCAUACAAACGCACCAACUUCCAGAGGCAACAACACGAUGACCCCGUUCUUCUGGCACUGAGACGAGAGCAGAGACUUUAGGGUUCGUUCCCAAAGUUUCCACAGAUUCCCUGCAGGACCACAGGCGAGCCACUUCAUCACCGCGCCUCUCGGUUGUCUGUCAGCAUCCUCGGGUCUGCAGGGCAGGGGCUGGCUGUCACCGGGUCACCGGGCAGCGGCAGCACAGCUGGCCCUGUGCUGUGUAAAUAAACCUGCCUGGUGCUACUGCAGUAGGAGUCAGCGAGGUUUGCAGCGGGGCUCGGCUGUUCCUAUAGGAAGCUGCUGUCAUCAUACCUCCAGGUU